GGAGGAGAGGGGCAAGAAGUCAGUGUCAAUAGCUGUAUGGAAGGACCAAAGCCUCCAUUAAAUACCCCUCUAUGACACAGUGCAAGAAGAAGGAGGAGGUGCAUUAAAUUAUAUAGAUUGGAGAGGAGAGUCACGAGGGAUUUGGUACCUAAAGACAUGCAUGUCUCGUGUACCUCCUUUGUCAAAUCUUUUAGGUAUAUGGAAAACUUCUGCUUCUUUUCCUUGCUAUAUAGGGCUUGAUAAUUUUCCAGCAAAAGGCAAAAACCUUGUUCAACAUUUUGGUUCCUUUCCUUCUUGUUUUUUCGGUAUAUAUAUAUGUUGGUUUGAGAGGUUGAAGCUGCCAGCAUGAUCUGGUAAUGAACCUGGCUAUCACUCUUUUUUCUGUGUACUCUUUUGCCUCUUUAGUCUUUGUGUAGCUAGUUAAGCUAUCUAUAUUGAUGACAGACCGAUAGUUGAUAAGUAGAUUUUAUGACCAGUUUUAGUUCAAAAUUCUGGAGUCCAGAUGAGUUAUUUCUGUGCUCAAAAUGUUAUCAGGACAAGGAUAUUGUCCAUUUGUUAAAGGGGUUUUGAGUUUGCCAAGGGAAUUUAGAUGUCUUGAUUAAGAACCCUGCUUGAACUCAUAGAUAUGGUUCACCAUCAGGUCAUCUUGCAGCUUCAAUCACUCACUCACCAACAAAAGAACUUUCUAGCUAGUCAUGGAUAUUUAAGAUUUUGCUCUCUCUCAAAAGUGAGACCUUCAUUCCAGCUUCAGUCAGUCACUAGCCAACAAAAGAAAUAUCUUAGAGUUGCUUCUUCACUUUCCAAAUAUAUAACCAGAUCAGGUAGCAUACAGCAAUUCCCCCUGAAAUAUGGUCAUUCAUAUUGGACCUUAAAAGAUGCAAAAGGGACUCAGAAAUUUUCAGAUUUUAUGUAUCUGUUUCAAAGAAGAAUUAGCAUGGAAGAACAUCAGCACAUGAUCUUGGGACAGCAGUUGGUGGCAUUUUAAUUUGUGGAUCGGCAAAAAUUUUUAUAUGGAUAUACAUUUUUUUUUUUGAAAAGCUUUAUAGAGAUAUACAUGUCCCUGCAUUUUUGUUCUUGAUUUGUUUCAUGAAAAUUUAUUCAAAUUGAAUCACUCAAAGUUUCUCUUUUUAGUGCCAUUUCUUUUCUUGGGGGGGAGGGGCUCUCAGCUGCAUUUGUUGUUAUUUAUGUAGCCUAGGACUGUAUCCUUGUCAUUCCAUUGCAUUUGGGAGUGGGAGAAAAUAAUUUGUUGUAUAUGUUAAUAGAGUAGAAUUCUGAAUAUUCUACAUAUAUAAGUGACACUUAUUGUAACAAAGUGUAGAGAGGAUGCCUAUGCAGCAAUAUCUGACUGCAUUGAUUGCUUCACAUUAAAAAAAAAAUUGGAUAUAACUACUGAAACCUGCACUUUAAUUAGGGUUUAUCUUCUAGAUGGCUGCUACUAUACUUUUAAGUCAUCUUUAAAAAGAAAGAUGGUUCUUAGGUUAUACUUACAAGAGGAUAAGAUAACGAUUUAAUUAGUUGGGAGUGCUUUGUGGAGUAAUCAGAUUCUGCAAAUAACCCCAUCCAUUUAGUUUCUAGUGCGGACUACAACACAAACUUAAGGAACUCUAUUUUGCAUUUGUCAUCUAAUUUCUACUAUCACAGAAUGGUUUUUGAGUUUUUCCCUUUCAACUGCAUAAGUUUUCAAAUGAAGGUACAUAAUAUGUGUAAUAGGUUAUAAACCUUUAAGUUAGUGGUUUUCCCCAGUUUUUACACACUCAGACACUUGCAGAUAUAUAAAGGUUUAAUGAGAAUUGGGUUCGAAGAUAGAGAAAUAUUCUAUCAAGCAGUCUUAUGUGAUUCAACCAGAUGACAAAAAGAGUGGUUUGAUUUCCUCCAAAUUCCAUUGAAAUAUACGAUUAGUCCAUUUAGAAAAAUGGGUGAGUUUCAUCUGUAUUCAAAAGAAUGGUGGCAGGUUAUAAGAGGAAGAGCAUUCAUGACUCGUUGGCCUUUGAUAUAUAAGCUGCUGCUUAGUUUGCUUAAGCUAGGAAAGCCAGACAUCCUUCUGUUCUCAUCUUCUCUAUGAGAUAAUAUUCAGCCAUGUGCAUAUAUCAUUUCUUUCUUUUCAUCAGUUUCCUAUUGUUUCUCCAUAUUAUAUGGUUUAAUCUCUCUCUAACUUUUUGAUUUCUAUGAAAAGGGCUGGCCGGCCGGCAGCUACUAGCAAAGGGUCGAUGGAGACAGUUUUAAUUUAGAAUAAAUGAUUCCUUGUGAUCUUGACUUUAUUGGUAGGAUGAAAGGUUAGAAGAGCCUCCACCCAUUGAGGAAAAGACUUUUGAAAAGCCAUUUUUAUUUAAUUUGUUUAACAAUGCUUAUAACAAUAUCAAUACUGUUAGCCAACCCACUCUUGGUUUAGCUUCUUCUUCAUGUUUUCUUCGAUAUAUAAAUCCUUGUCUAUCAACUAGCUAAUUUGACAGCACCAACCAAACAUCCAGAAUAUGUAUAUAUAUAAUUUCAAUCUGAUAGCAACUUUGAGGGCCGCCCGGCUGUGUAUAAUCAAUGGGAAAUUCCUAGAAUUAGUCAUUCAAUAUC
rnacentral:sRNA from 10 species